rnacentral:rRNA from 1 species
UACGGGGGGAGCAAGCGUUGUUCGGAUUUACGGGGCGUAAAGGGCGCGUAGGCGGCCACCGCAAGUCAGUUGUGAAAGCUCUGGGCUUAACCCAGAAAGGUCAGCUGAUACUGCGGGGCUAGAGUGCAGAAGGGGCAACUGGAAUUCUCGGUGUAGCGGUGAAAUGCGUAGAUAUCGAGAGGAACACCUGCGGCGAAGGCGGGUUGCUGGGCUGACACUGACGCUGACAGCGCGAAAGCUAGGGGAGCGAACGGG